rnacentral:rRNA from 1 species
AUUGAACGCUGGCGGAAUGCUUUACACAUGCAAGUCGAAUGGCAGCACGGACUUCGGUCUGGUGGCGAGUGGCGAACGGGUGAGUAAUACAUCGGAACGUGCCCAGUCGUGGGGGAUAACGUAGCGAAAGCUACGCUAAUACCGCAUACGAUCUAAGGAUGAAAGCGGGGGAUCGCAAGACCUCGCGCGAUUGGAGCGGCCGAUGGCAGAUUAGGUAGGUGGUGGGGUAAAGGCUCACCAAGCCGACGAUCUGUAGCUGGUCUGAGAGGACGACCAGCCACACUGGGACUGAGACACGGCCCAGACUCCUACGGGAGGCAGCAGUGGGGAAUUUUGGACAAUGGGCGCAAGCCUGAUCCAGCCAUUCCGCGUGCAGGAUGAAGGCCCUCGGGUUGUAAACUGCUUUUGUACGGAACGAAAAGGCUCUGGUUAAUACCUGGGGCUCAUGACGGUACCGUAAGAAUAAGCACCGGCUAACUACGUGCCAGCCGCCGCGGUAA